rnacentral:rRNA from 1 species
GAUGAACGCUGGCGGCGUGCCUAAUACAUGCAAGUCGAGCGAACGGACGAGAAGCUUGCUUCUCUGAUGUUAGCGGCGGACGGGUGAGUAACACGUGUAUAACCUACCUAUAAGACUGGGAUAACUUCGGGAAACCGGAGCUAAUACCGGAGAAUAUUUUGAACCGCAUGGUUCAAAAGUGAAAGACGGUCUUGCUGUCACUUAUAGAUGGAUCCGCGCUGCAUUAGCUAGUUGGUAAGGUAACGGCUUACCAAGGCAACGAUGCAUAGCCGACCUGAGAGGGUGAUCGGCCACACGGGAACUGAGACACGGUCCAGACUCCUACGGGAGGCCGCAGUAGGGAAUCUUCCGCAAUGGGCGAAAGCCUGACGGAGCAACGCCGCGUGAGUGAUGACAGUCUUCGGAUCGUAAAACUCUGUUAUUAGGGAAGAACAACUGUGUAAGUAACUGUGCACGUCUUGACGGUACCUAAUAAGAAAGCCCCGGCUAACUACGUG